GUAGAUAGAUUCUGUUUAUGAAAAUUAGAGCUUAUGUUAAAACUGAAUCCAUAGCUAUAAGACUCAGAAACAUAUUUCUACUUUAACUGCACAAUCCAAAUUGCUUAUUUUGACCUACAAGGUCCUAUAUAUUUUGAGGUUAGAAUGUCUAAAGGUCCACUUCCUUCCAUUUGAAUUUACUCUAUAAUUUAAAGUUAUGAUUUAAAGCCAUGUUUCAUGUCCCAUUAGCUAAAGAAACUAUGUUGGUGGUUACAAGGAAGAGGACCUUUGGGCCAGGUUCUCUUCCCCAAACAGGUGAGAGUUGCCCCCUCCCUAUUUUGCUUGAUACAUGAAAUCUUACAUGUUUAAAAAGUCCAAAGAACCUGAAGAGAAGAGGCAAGAAUUAGAAUUUUAUGUAACCGUCUGUUCUAGCUAGCAGUCAUCUGGAUUUUUUUCAGCCCAGCUAAAGUAAUCCUACCAUGAAUUUCACUCACUAAAAUUGCAUAUAUAAUUUAGUUCAUUACAAUCUUAUAGCUUUAGAGAUAAAAAUAUUCAAAAAUUUGAUAAAAUUACCAAUGCACUUUUUUCAUUUUCUUUUGGUUAUUCAUUCUUCAUUGAUUUCUUAUUUGUUUUAAGUAGAAUGAUAGCCAGCUUAACAGUUUGCUUUUGUUAAUAUUUAUAGAAAUAAAUAUCUCUUUAUAGAGGUGACUGACAUGGCAACAAUUGACAAAUAAAUAAAUAAAUAAAUAAGGGUUACACAACCAUGACCUGGAUGACUGAGAAUCUCCAUAGACGCAAGGGUUACACAGGUUAUUUUUGUAUGGAAGAUAAUUAUUAAUUAUUGCAUAAGGGUAUGCAUGGCACAUUAGUUAAUUCAAAUCAUUUUCGGACACAGACAUUUUAAUGAGGAAUUACUGAUAGGUCUCCCAGUUCUACAAUUAGUAUUUUUCUUUCAACAAAGCUCUGCAUGCAGUCAAACAGAAAUGUCUAAUUGCCCUGCUUAGAAUUCAACAGACAUUCACAUCCAACAUUUAUACUAAUGAGUGCAUUCCCAACAUUUAUCUAUUAUGCUGUUUGUUCCAAUUAAAGGCUAAAGCUUCUCCAAAGUACUAUUAACAAAAAAUAAAGAUAAAACUGAUGAAAAACUGUUUUUAAUUGUACCAAGUUAGAAUGCGAAUAAUGCUGGGAUAAUAUACUAUAUAUUCAGUGGUUGGAUUCAACCAGUUUGCACCACUUCGGCAGAACCGGUAGCUAAUUUUUUGUUGCCCAGGCCCAGAAUGGACUUCCAGAACCAGCAUCCACACAGAGAACCGGUUGUUCACAUAUUUGAAUCUCACUACUGUGUACAUCUCUAGAUCAUGAUUUUUUCCCCUUGAUUAUUUGGUUUUGCUGUAUGAAGAAGAGAGUUGACAUGGAUGGAUGGCAGAGACCAUGAUUCAGAGAUGGGAGAAGAAUGAUCAGAAAGGAAGCAAAUGGGAAGAACACAACUAGAAAUAUUCAAGGAAGCUAACAUGUUUUUGCUCUCCUGAUAGUUGUUGCCAAUAAAUUGAUCAGUAUAAAGGAUUAUGGGAUUGUCCCUUAUAGUUUGUGGUCAUCUAAAGAUUUCACUAUUCAGCAUGUAGAAACUACUAGUACUAAGAUUGUAUACAUUAUUGUAUUACCGUGCAUCAGUUAUAUGAUGAACCAGUUACAUACUAAUGCACACUUGUGUUCUACGAACACACUUUAUUGAUCCCUAAGGAUAGUCAAAUCUAUUAACGAAAUCUGUUUACCCACAGAGCACUCUUGCAUUUGUGACAUCACAGGGAGCUUCUUCUUUCCCACUAAAAUUAUAUUAAAAAAGUAGAAUCAAAUAAGGAAAAUCAGCUUCUUUGACUGUUCCAGUGACCAUGAUAAGGAUUUUCUUUUUAUUUUCUUUUUGUGACAGUAGCAGUGUGCCUGCAAAAACAUUUAAUUUUUUUUUACUGGGUGGGGUGAUUUCCCAAAAAACUAAGGAAUUUCUCCAAGAACUUACCAUUGUUUUGAGAGAAUUUUCAUACAUACACACAUACACAAAACACACCCCACACAAACACAAACGCAAUUGACCAAAAAACCAAGUCCAGUCCAAAAAUGCUAGAUAAUACCUGGAAGCUAAAUCAGCCAUUAACAGGCAUAUCGAGCUAAAUAACAUAUGCAUACAGUAUAUCAAAAUGACAUCUUACUUAAACAAGGAAUGAUGGUUUUCUAUUGGGAAUAAGGGUCUAAAACUCCAUAUUGCCACCUCUUGUCUUUGUGCUAAUGGUCACAUUUUUGACUAUCAGUCAUAUUUUAGACUCAUUUCAAAUACAUUAAAAUGCUACACGGUUUCCUCAUCACUUUUAUCAUCAUUGAUUGCAGGGAAUGGGGAUGCUCAGAAUGUGACUUUCAGAUAAACCAUCAGAAAUAGUAUAACUUUAUAGAAAGCGAUAGGUGCCUUGCUGGGACUAGAGACAGUUUUUCAAAGAAAAGUUAGACAGAAAUCUGUUCUAGAAGAGCCAGCCAUCCCUAUCCUAAAACUCAGGAAGCAGCUGCUUCUGUUGAAAAUUGCCAGGACAAGGCAACAUUCAUCCUCAUUGACCCAGAUUAGAUGUUGUCUCCUCAGAUUACCCUCAUCAUCUCAGGCAUGGUGGAGGAAAUGGGCUCCACCAACACCAGUUUUGGAACAGGAUGGAUUAAGGGAAGUUGCCCUCUUAUCUUGUCUCUCACUGUCCAAAGCAGUGUCGCUAUCUCUCACAUCCAUUUUAGUUCUGUAUUUUAUUUCUUUAUUUAAUUUGUAUCCCACCUUUAUUAUUUUUGCAAACAACUCAGGGUGGCAAACAUCCCAACACAUCUUCCCUGUCCUAUUUUCCUCACAACAACAGCCCUGUGAGGUGGGAUGGAUUGAGAGAGUGCGACUGGCCCCAAAUUACCCUUCUGGCUUUCCUGGAUAGGCACAGUCUCUUGCUUUCUAGCCUGGUGCCUUAACCUCUAGACUAAACUGGCUAUGAUCAGAUUGUAUUGUAUUAUAUGAUACACAUGAUUGCAUGAUCUCUUGCUAUUCUUUACAUGUCAUCUGUAAUGGAAUCCUUCUCUGGGUGAUUUGAGAUGAAUUUGCAGGGUAGCUUCUUCAAUAACAAGAAGCUUUUCUUCUCUUUGUCAGGCUGAUGACACAAGGACAAAAGAUGUUCACCUCAGUCUGAUAUUACAAACACAUUUUUGGUCUGACCGAAUUCUUGACUCUUAUUCUGACUGGCUAAUUAAAGCAGCCAAAUUGGAACUGGCCUCAGAAUCAAGAUAAAUUUCUCCUUAAACUAGGACAAAGGUUCUGUACUUAUAUGAAAAGAAAACCCUGUCUUGACCCACAAAAAAGUCAGUCUCGUAUAACCCAUUCACGUCCUUUUACAAAGGAGCAACACCUAGCUUGCAGCAUGUCCUGAUUUGAAAAUGUUACCCUUGAAAAUGUCUAAUUGCAGUUAGCACAAAAUGUAGCAGUUAGGCUGCUGACUGAUGCCCAAUACAUGGGUCAUAGGAUUCCUGUACUGAAAUAUUCACACUGGCUGCUUGUUUACUAUUGGACACAAUUAAAGGUGUUUGCAUACACUCAUGAAGCCAUAAACAGCUUGGAGCCACAGUUUUGGUGGGGCAGCUUUUCUUACAAUGAGCCUAAUUCUUUGGUUUCAUAGGAGAGGCCCUUCUGAAGUAACUCCCACUGUUCACUCUGGAGCAUACAGAAAAGCUUUUAAUCCUUGGCUUUUUAAUAUUUAGCUUUUAUCCAAACUUUAAAUUGGGUUAUUGAUGUUUUGUUUACAGUUCGUAUUUCUUAUUGUUAUAGGCCACUCUGAUUAUCAGAUGGAUAAAAAUUGAUUGUUGUUGUUGUUUAUUCCUAACAAUCAUCAAGAUCAGAGUUUUAUCCCUUGUAUAAGGGAACAAUGAUAGCAUUCCAGCCAAAGAUGCAAGCCUUAUCACAUAAAUUAAUCAAGCUGAAUGAUAGUUUCAUCUUUCGGAACCAUGACAACUGCCUUAGCUCCUGGAUUGCAAGGUUUGCAGUGGAAUUUUCUAGGAUUAUGAUUCUGGGGGACUUCAACCUGCCUUCCCUGAAGGUGGGGUUGGAGGUAGCUUGGGAGAUCACAGAAACCAUGUCCAUGGCCUGUGCCAGGUCAUCCAAGGCCUGACUAGGAAUAGUGGUCAAACACCUGAUUUGCUGUAUUGGAUUGUACUUAUGUAGCGUUUGGGAAAUAUAUGAAAAUUAUUAUGUACUGGAAUUGAAAAAAUGAUGACUGUUUAGAUUGGGAUGUUUUUAAUAAUUUAUGGAAUGUUUUAAAUUACUAGGAUGGAUUUCUUGUAUGACAACAGACAUGAUAAGGCAUGAUAAGUAAUUGGAGAAAAUUUGAAUUUUGUUUAAUGAAUUUGAAUGAAUUAAGGUUUAAUAUUAUUUCGUUAUUUUAAAGACAUGGAUUGACUUUGGAAUUACAUAUAUAUAGGGCUGAUCAAUAUUUUAUUGCUAUUAGGAUAUCUAUUGUGUAGUGGAAGAAGAAAUAAAUGAGAUUGGUGAUAAAAUGAGGGAUGCGAGAGAUUAAGA